rnacentral:lncRNA from 1 species
UGAGGCAUCUGAUCAAAAUCUGCCUUGAGCUUAAAAAAUUAUAUUUGUAAAUAUAUUUUUCUCUCAUGCAAGGGAGAAGAGCAGCUGAAUACUCUGGCAGCUGUUCAAGGGCCCCACUGCUAUAAAUAAAAGUAUUUCAGGGUUGUAAAAGGAAAUUAGAGCCAGAGAGCAAAAGGUCACACUGACCAGAAUACAAUCAAGCUGUAAAAACACAAUUAAGAACUGGUAAAUAGUGAAAUUUAUUGUUUAACAGAAGACUCGAGCCAUAAGGUUAAAGGUUAAAUGGAAGAAACAGCCGCUGGUUAGGGAAAAAGGUUUCUUAUAGAACUUAGGAACUUAGCUUUUACUAAAUUCCUUUAAUUUGAAAAGGCCUUUCCUUCUAAAAAUCUAUCUAUGUUAUGUAUGAAAUAUAUUGGCUUAAAUGUGAUUAUGCAAAGGAUUUAGAAAGUAAGAAAUGUUAGAUUCUUAUAGAUUCCUAUUAUGGUGGGUGAGAAGGUGAACUCAAGAUCUCUUU